GCGCCGGUAGUGCAAUGGUUCAGCACACGCACCCAGAUAUGGUGUAACCUGGCUUCGAAUCCCAGCUGACGCA